rnacentral:lncRNA from 1 species
GCACAGCAAUCACAUAGUGCUAAACGCAGUGACGUUUCUUAUUGGUGCUGCAAAUUGUCCACGAUCACAUGACUUCUGGGCAGCAAGAGGGGAAAAGCCGUAUAAUUCCGGACCCUGGUCCGGAAGUGUACAGCAUGGUAUAAAGUUCACAUGGCUGCAAAUUCAAAUUUGGGAAGUUGUUUCGUGGCUACUGAACUUUGUUGAUUGCAUCAUUUAAAUCCUGGCCAGAACCUGCCAUAGAAUAGGACGCUCUUUUGUCAUGGCAAAGACAGGGGGUGGAGUAUGGCCGCCGCCGCGCCUGCGGUUGAGACUAAUGCACCUCCCACAUGUUUUAGCUAGUUACAUCAACAAUGCUGUGCCUGUGGGACUGUGCGAGCUGGUGACUUAACUUGUCAUGCUUGAACACAGCAGGAGAGAAUCUUUGCUAAUUAAACCUUAAAUACAUGCCUUAAGUAUGUAACAUAUGGCUUCAAAUUAACAACAGGGUACCCUGUAAGGGAGCUGACCGAGUAAGGCUUGGCAACAGGCCAAAAGGAAGUUGCCCUGCUAGCUGUCAUAUACUGAUCUUUUGCGUUGGAUAAGUGCAGCUAAGCCUAAGGGCUUUGUUUACGGCCGCGCCUGAAUGCAUAUCAAGUCACUGCAAGUGGCUGAAACGAAGGUAAUUCAAGUGCACUCCAGAAUCCCGGCAGGGAUGCUGUAUAGUACAUUGUGCACAUUGUUAUAGCGGUAAUAUACUAUGCAGCAUUUCAGAAGGGAUUCCGGAGUCCAUAUGGCAUAUAAUUGUCAUUUUUUAGAAAGGAACAAAACAUGAACACAUAGCCAGCAUAUGACCAUUGGGAACAUGACUGAAUUUAC